rnacentral:lncRNA from 1 species
GAAUGUACAAGAACAUUGCACAAACUUCUACAAAAUGACUAUCAAAUCGGCAUUCCCCGUUCAUUCAUGCUCCAUUUUAUCAAUUAAUGAAAAAAUUGUGUAAAGACAGAUUAAAUUACAGCCUAUUCAAAAAAGGAAAAAAUUGUUCAUAUUAAUAAUCCUCACUUCAAAUUUUGAAUGCCUAAGUACGGCUGAAUCUAUCUUCAAAAGUUGUGGGGUCAAAUUUAUGCCAAAAAAUUAGCUUCAAAAGAGUAAAUAAUAAGUAAAAAUAUUAAAUUUGUAGAACUCGGCAAUUCAUGGCCUCCAAAUAAAUAAAUGACAGUCCUAGAUCUUUAUAUGUACAAUGACAUGAAGAUUUUAAUCUGACACUUGAUAUUUACAAUGACAUUAAAAACUGAACUUUGAAGUCUUAAUUAUCCAUGAAUCUAAUUAUGCAUAGAGGUAAACAUUAGGAUGAAAAGUUUAAUUAAGCUCAAGAAUGACAUUUUUCGUAUCGUUGCGGUCAUUGUACAAGUAGUCAUUGUUAGCACUUUAGAGUGUAUAUAUUUUGGAAUACAAAAAAGAUAUCAAAAUAUUUAAAGCAACCUUACUAUGUCCAAAACAUUAAUAGAUUAUUUAGUUUAGUGCUAAGUAAGACGAAGGGCAAAGAUCAUCCUUAUGGUUAUUGAGCAAAGAUGAAGAAGGGUACAUAUUUGUGCCCAUCCUGAGUCAUCUUCCUGUUUCCU